rnacentral:rRNA from 1 species
ACACAGGUGGUCAGGUAGAGAAUACCAAGGCGCUUGAGAGAACUCGGGUGAAGGAACUAGGCAAAAUGGUGCCGUAACUUCGGGAGAAGGCACGCUGAUAUGUAGGUGAAGUCCCUCGCGGAUGGAGCUGAAAUCAGUCGAAGAUACCAGCUGGCUGCAACUGUUUAUUAAAAACACAGCACUGUGCAAACACGAAAGUGGACGUAUACGGUGUGACGCCUGCCCGGUGCCGGAAGGUUAAUUGAUGGGGUCAGCGCAAGCGAAGCUCUUGAUCGAAGCCCCGGUAAACGGCGGCCGUAACUAUAACGGUCCUAAGGUAGCGAAAUUCCUUGUCGGGUAAGUUCCGACCUGCACGAAUGGCGUAAUGAUGGCCAGGCUGUCUCCACCCGAGACUCAGUGAAAUUGAACUCGCUGUGAAGAUGCAGUGUACCCGCGGCAAGACGGAAAGACCCCGUGAACCUUUACUAUAGCUUGACACUGAACAUUGAGCCUUGAUGUGUAGGAUAGGUGGGAGGCUUUGAAGUGUGGACGCCAGUCUGCAUGGAGCCGACCUUGAAAUACCACCCUUUAAUGUUUGAUGUUCUAACGUGGACCCGUGAUCCGGGUUGCGGACAGUGUCUGGUGGGUAGUUUGACUGGGGCGGUCUCCUCCUAAAGAGUAACGGAGGAGCACGAAGGUUGGCUAAUCCUGGUCGGACAUCAGGAGGUUAGUGCAAUGGCAUAAGCCAGCUUGACUGCGAGCGUGACGGCGCGAGCAGGUGCGAAAGCAGGUCAUAGUGAUCCGGUGGUUCUGAAUGGAAGGGCCAUCGCUCAACGGAUAAAAGGUACUCCGGGGAUAACAGGCUGAUACCGCCCAAGAGUUCAUAUCGACGGCGGUGUUUGGCACCUCGAUGUCGGCUCAUCACAUCCUGGGGCUGAAGUAGGUCCCAAGGGUAUGGCUGUUCGCCAUUUAAAGUGGUACGCGAGCUGGGUUUAGAACGUCGUGAGACAGUUCGGUCCCUAUCUGCCGUGGGCGCUGGAGAACUGAGGGGGGCUGCUCCUAGUACGAGAGGACCGGAGUGGACGCAUCACUGGUGUUCGGGUUGUCAUGCCAAUGGCACUGCCCGGUAGCUAAAUGCGGAAGAGAUAAGUGCUGAAAGCAUCUAAGCACGAAACUUGCCCCGAGAUGAGUUCUCCCUGACCCUUUAAGGGUCCUGAAGGAACGUUGAAGACGACGACGUUGAUAGGCCGGGUGUGUAAGCGCAGCGAUGCGUUGAGCUAACCGGUACUAAUGAACCGUGAGGCUUAACCUU